GGGUCCGUGGGGUAGCUUGGAAUCCUUCCUGCUUGGGGUGCAGGUAACUCCGAUUCAAAUUCGGACGGACCCACCA
rnacentral:tRNA from 1 species